UACGAAGGGGACUAGCGUUGUUCGGAAUUACUGGGCGUAAAGCGCACGUAGGCGGAUCGAUCAGUCAGGGGUGAAAUCCCAGAGCUCAACUCUGGAACUGCCUUUGAUACUGUCGAUCUAGAGUAUGGAAGAGGUGAGUGGAAUUCCGGGUGUAGUGGUGAAAUGCGUAGAGAUCCGGAGGAACACCAGUGGCGAAGGCGGCCAGCUGGCGCUGACCUGACGCUGAGGCGCGAAGGCAUGGGGAGCGAACGGG
rnacentral:rRNA from 1 species